UAAGUACCCCGAGGAAAAGAAAUCAACCGAGAUUCCCCCAGUAGCGGCGAGCGAACGGGGAGGAGCCCAGAGCCUGAAUCAGUGUGUGUGUUAGUGGAAGCGUCUGGAAAGGCGCGCGAUACAGGGUGACAGCCCCGUACACAAAAAUGCACAUACUGUGAGCUCGAUGAGUAGGGCGGGACACGUGGUAUCCUGUCUGAAUAUGGGGGGACCAUCCUCCAAGGCUAAAUACUCCUGACUGACCGAUAGUGAACCAGUACCGUGAGGGAAAGGCGAAAAGAACCCCGGCGAGGGGAGUGAAAAAGAACCUGAAACCGUGUACGUACAAGCAGUGGGAGCCUCUUAAUGGGGUGACUGCGUACCUUUUGUAUAAUGGGUCAGCGACUUAUAUUCUGUAGCAAGGUUAACCGAAUAGGGGAGCCGAAGGGAAACCGAGUCUUAACUGGGCGUUAAGUUGCAGGGUAUAGACCCGAAACCCGGUGAUCUAGCCAUGGGCAGGUUGAAGGUUGGGUAACACUAACUGGAGGACCGAACCGACUAAUGUUGAAAAAUUAGCGGAUGACUUGUGGCUGGGGGUGAAAGGCCAAUCAAACCGGGAGAUAGCUGGUUCUCCCCGAAAGCUAUUUAGGUAGCGCCUCGUGAAUUCAUCUCCGGGGGUAGAGCACUGUUUCGGCAAGGGGGUCAUCCCGACUUACCAACCCGAUGCAAACUGCGAAUACCGGAGAAUGUUAUCACGGGAGACACACGGCGGGUGCUAACGUCCGUCGUGAAGAGGGAAACAACCCAGACCGCCAGCUAAGGUCCCAAAGUCAUGGUUAAGUGGGAAACGAUGUGGGAAGGCCCAGACAGCCAGGAUGUUGGCUUAGAAGCAGCCAUCAUUUAAAGAAAGCGUAAUAGCUCACUGGUCGAGUCGGCCUGCGCGGAAGAUGUAACGGGGCUAAACCAUGCACCGAAGCUGCGGCAGCGACGCUUAUGCGUUGUUGGGUAGGGGAGCGUUCUGUAAGCCUGUGAAGGUGGCCUGUGAGGGUUGCUGGAGGUAUCAGAAGUGCGAAUGCUGACAUAAGUAACGAUAAAGCGGGUGAAAAGCCCGCUCGCCGGAAGACCAAGGGUUCCUGUCCAACGUUAAUCGGGGCAGGGUGAGUCGACCCCUAAGGCGAGGCCGAAAGGCGUAGUCGAUGGGAAACAGGUUAAUAUUCCUGUACUUGGUGUUACUGCGAAGGGGGGACGGAGAAGGCUAUGUUGGCCGGGCGACGGUUGUCCCGGUUUAAGCGUGUAGGCUGGUUUUCCAGGCAAAUCCGGAAAACCAAGGCUGAGGCGUGAUGACGAGGCACUACGGUGCUGAAGCGACAAAUGCCCUGCUUCCAGGAAAAGCCUCUAAGCAUCAGGUAACAUUAAAUCGUACCCCAAACCGACACAGGUGGUCAGGUAGAGAAUACCAAGGCGCUUGAGAGAACUCGGGUGAAGGAACUAGGCAAAAUGGUGCCGUAACUUCGGGAGAAGGCACGCUGAUAUGUAGGUGAAGCGACUUGCUCGUGGAGCUGAAAUCAGUCGAAGAUACCAGCUGGCUGCAACUGUUUAUUAAAAACACAGCACUGUGCAAACACGAAAGUGGACGUAUACGGUGUGACGCCUGCCCGGUGCCGGAAGGUUAAUUGAUGGGGUUAGCGGCAACGCGAAGCUCUUGAUCGAAGCCCCGGUAAACGGCGGCCGUAACUAUAACGGUCCUAAGGUAGCGAAAUUCCUUGUCGGGUAAGUUCCGACCUGCACGAAUGGCGUAAUGAUGGCCAGGCUGUCUCCACCCGAGACUCAGUGAAAUUGAACUCGCUGUGAAGAUGCAGUGUACCCGCGGCAAGACGGAAAGACCCCGUGAACCUUUACUAUAGCUUGACACUGAACAUUGAGCCUUGAUGUGUAGGAUAGGUGGGAGGCUUUGAAGUGUGGACGCCAGUCUGCAUGGAGCCGACCUUGAAAUACCACCCUUUAAUGUUUGAUGUUCUAACGUGGGCCCGUAAUCCGGGUUGCGGACAGUGUCUGGUGGGUAGUUUGACUGGGGCGGUCUCCUCCUAAAGAGUAACGGAGGAGCACGAAGGUUGGCUAAUCCUGGUCGGACAUCAGGAGGUUAGUGCAAUGGCAUAAGCCAGCUUGACUGCGAGCGUGACGGCGCGAGCAGGUGCGAAAGCAGGUCAUAGUGAUCCGGUGGUUCUGAAUGGAAGGGCCAUCGCUCAACGGAUAAAAGGUACUCCGGGGAUAACAGGCUGAUACCGCCCAAGAGUUCAUAUCGACGGCGGUGUUUGGCACCUCGAUGUCGGCUCAUCACAUCCUGGGGCUGAAGUAGGUCCCAAGGGUAUGGCUGUUCGCCAUUUAAAGUGGUACGCGAGCUGGGUUUAGAACGUCGUGAGACAGUUCGGUCCCUAUCUGCCGUGGGCGCUGGAGAACUGAGGGGGGCUGCUCCUAGUACGAGAGGACCGGAGUGGACGCAUCACUGGUGUUCGGGUUGUCAUGCCAAUGGCACUGCCCGGUAGCUAAAUGCGGAAGAGAUAAGUGCUGAAAGCAUCUAAGCACGAAACUUGCCCCGAGAUGAGUUCUCCCUGACCCUUUAAGGGUCCUGAAGGAACGUUGAAGACGACGACGUUGAUAGGCCGGGUGUGUAAGCGCAGCGAUGCGUUGAGCUAACCGGUACUAAUGAACCGUGAGGCUUAACCUUACAACGCCGAAG
rnacentral:rRNA from 1 species